AAUCAGGUGGCCCUGGGAGGGCCCAAGGGCACCACAGUAGCCCUGCGAGGAGCUCCUGCUAAAACACUUCACCGAACAGGGCCUUGGAGGCCCCGCCCCCGCAGGGAUGGAGGGGGCUACACAGGGAGGCCCCUUGGCACCAAGCUCAGACCAUCAGAAAAGCCACGAUAUGACAGUCACAUCACAAUCACCUUUGUUUAACUCUCGUGAUUCACCCUGACCACUUGCUGAAAAGAGAACAAGCUGUUUCAACAGCACAGUCCCUCGCAGCUCUGUUAGAAGAGGAGCCAAGCCUGGGUACGUUGGCAGCCCCGGGGGACUGAGGAGAGCGUGCCCUGCCACAGCCUGCCCCUCUGUGCUGGUCCCACGUGGGUGAGGAGACAGACGCCAGCCUGGCCCAGGUCCCUCACGUCCUUCCCCACCACCCUGCACCAGAACUGUCUGACACUGGAGGCUUUUACAGAUGUUUCCUCAGCUCCUGCCUGAAAGUCAGGGCUUUACUGACCCAUUUCAAAGAAGGAAGAAUAGAGUCCCAAAUAAGAGAAAUAGCUCACCUGGGGGCCCAGACGAGGCGGCAAAAGCAGACUCAGAACCCGGCAUUCUAGCUUUCAGGCCCUGGAAUACUCCUGGACAAUGCUGCCCACCUCUGAAUAAGCAGUGAAGUGCAACUGAGCCCUCACCUGCGCCACACACUGUGAUGUGCACUUCGGUUGCACAAAGUAAUUCUCAGCAUAUAGUUUCCAGACCAGCAAUAGCAGCAUUACCUAGGAGCUUGUUGGAAAUGCAGAAUCCCAGACCCCAUCCCAGACCUACAAAAUCAGAAUAUCUGAGGGUGGGGCUCAGGAAUCUGUGUUUUUGCAAAACCAACAAAUGAUUUUGAUGCGUGCUUAAGUUUGAGAACCUAUGAAUGCGUCUCACUGUGUGGCCAGGCUGGUCUUGAACUCCUGGCCUCAAGCAAUCCUCCCGCCUCAGCCUCCCAAAGUGCUGGGAUUACAGGAGUGAGCCACCAUGCCCAGCUGGGAGUAGAAUUCUUAACCCCUUGAUUUUACUUCUGCCUCCAACAGGCAGCAGGUCUGGUUCCAGAUUGAGUAGGAUCACUCAACAUAGGACUGGACUCUCACUCUCUCUCACUCUGCCCCGCUCCCAUGAUCCUUAAGAUCCUUAGGUCCCUCCCUGUGCCAGCCCCAGGAGACCCUAAGAAGAGGAGAGUUCAUCUCCUGGGUCUCCCCAAGCACUCAAGGUCCUUGGGGUGAAACCAUGAGAGACAAUGGUGUGCUGGUCAAUGUCUAACGGGGCUAUCCAGGAGAACAAGAGGCUCUGGUUUGUAGGGUUUGCCACUUUCUGCAGUGUAAAUGCCCCCACUGCAGCCAACAUCAAGCUACCAAACAGGACACUGCUGAGCAGAAGAAAUGUGCACGAUCAGCGCACCAUGGGACAAAGGCACAGUGUCACAGGAGGAGGAAGAAGGAGAGAAGGGGCUUUGGCAGCCUAGGACGCUGCAGAGACCCCAGCUCUCCCACCCACCCCACCUGCCCUGCCUAGGCUUUGCCCCUAUGUUCCAAAUAUGUCAGAAACACAGAAUUCACUCCAAGUGGCCCUUUGCUUAUUGUUUCCUAGAACAAACGUCUCUUUCUUUCUGUAAAAGUUUCUGACAUAAGUAAUCCAUGUACAACGUAGAAAACUAGGGAAUACAUGUGAGUUAAAAUGAAGAAACUAAAAGCACAACUUUCCAGUAUGUAAAUACAUUGUUACAACAUUAAAAACAGGUAGUGCUCUGUAUUCCGCUUUUCUAACUCAGCAGUACCCAGUGAACAUCCUUUCACAUCAAAAACAGAGACCAAGGCCCAGCCCGAUGGCUCACACUUGCAAUUCCAGGGUUUUGGGAGGCCAAGGUGGGAGGAUCACUUAAGGCCAGGAGUUCGAGACCAGCCUAGGCAACAUAUCGAGAUUCCGUCUCUACAGAAAAAUAAAAAAAAAUUAGCUGGGCAUGGUGGCAUGCAUGUGUAGUCGCAGCUACUCAGGAGGCUGAGGCAGGAGGAUCACUUGAGCCCAGGAAGUCAAGGCUGCAGUGAGUUAUGAUGGCAUCACUGCACUCUAGCCUGAGUGACACAGCCAGACCCUGUCUCAAAAAAAUAAAAAAUAAAAAAAAACAGAGACCAACACUAUUAUCAAUGAUGGCCUGAGUCCCAUCACAGGAGGCUCCAAAUAACCAAUAUCCUGUUGCUGGAUAGCCAGGCUAUUUCCAGCUGUCUCCUCCUGUAAGAGA